rnacentral:SRP_RNA from 1 species
GCUGGGCGUGAUGGUGUGCACCUUUUAGUCUAGCUACUUGGAGGCCAGGGUGCGGAAUUUCGCGGGACCGGGAGUUCUGAAACAUGAGUGCUCAUGUUGAUCGGGCGUCCACGCUAAGCACGCGCCGAUAUGGAUGAUCUGUCAGAGGGCUGGUUGUCCAGAUCGACUAAAGAGGGAUGCACCGGCCCAGGGG